rnacentral:misc_RNA from 1 species
AUGGUGAGUAAAUCUAAAGCCAAUGAAGGCUUUUAGUGUACGAAUUCAAGGAAUAUAGAGAUUAUUUCGAGGCUAGGAAUAGUAAUUCAUACGAAACAAGGAGUAAACUUAUUGUAGGAUCUUAUAGCACAACAAAUGGCAAAUAAGCAUUGUAGGAUUUGAAAGGGCUUAAUAGUCCAAGAGAAAUUUAUUUACAAUGUACCAUUUUAUCUCAUGAUUUAAUGGUUUUUUUGACAUUGAAGCCUAUGGUUUUCCCUGAUUACGGUGUUCUUUAACUAUCAUUUUGUGAUGAUGCCUUCCCUAGAUAACAAAUUUCAUAGGCUUUAUUUAGGAGAGGGAGGAGAAUGGAAUCCUCCCAAAGUCCCUCCAACUUCCAUUUUCCUCUCUCCCAAAUAGAGGGUAAGAGUUGAGGAAAUGAAACAUCAUCUUGGAAAUGAUUAAUCAUAAAUUGCUCUAAUGAAUUUUGUGUGACCUUAAUGUCAGUCUUUUGAAUCACUUGGUUUCUGAAUGUGCAUUUGGUGUUAGAAGGAUGGCAUUGUUAAAUUCUUGAUAUGUUUGAUAACCAACACUAUUUAUAUUGUUCAGUACUAAUAAAUAUUGAAAAGAAUCAUGAAAUACACUUUAGGAG